rnacentral:rRNA from 1 species
CCGGCGACCGGCGCACGGGUGAGUAACACGUAUGCAACCUGGCCGUGACAGAUGGAUAACCGGGAGAAAUCCCGCCUAAUACAACAUAAUGCCGGGAGGGGACAUCCCCUGCCGGCCAAAGGGGGCGACCCCGGUCACGGAUGGGCAUGCGGCGCAUUAGGUAGUUGGCGGUGUAACGGACCACCAAGACGACGAUGCGUAGGGGUUCUGAGAGGAAGGUCCCCCACACUGGUACUGAGACACGGACCAGACUCCUACGGAAGGCAGCAG